GACGAAGGGGGCUAGCGUUGCUCGGAAUCACUGGGCGUAAAGGGUGCGUAGGUGGAUUUUUAAGUCAGGGGUGAAAUCCUGGAGCUCAACUCCAGAACUGCCUUUGAUACUGGGAAUCUUGAGUUCGGGAGAGGUGAGUGGAACUGCGAGUGUAGAGGUGAAAUUCGUAGAUAUUCGCAAGAACACCAGUGGCGAAGGCGGCUCACUGGCCCGAUACUGACACUGAGGCACGAAAGCGUGGGGAGCAAACAGG
rnacentral:rRNA from 1 species